rnacentral:rRNA from 1 species
UACGUAGGGUGCGAGCGUUGUCCGGAAUUAUUGGGCGUAAAGGGCUCGUAGGCGGUUUGUCGCGUCGGGAGUGAAAUCCACUGGCUUAACUGGUGGCUUGCUUUCGAUACGGGCAGACUGGAGGUAUGCAGGGGAGAACGGAAUUCCUGGUGUAGCGGUGAAAUGCGGAGAUAUCAGGAGGAACACCGGUGGCGAAGGCGGUUCUCUGGGCAUGUCCUGACGCUGAGGAGCGAAAGUGUGGGGAGCGAACAGG